CUUUUAUGACAGAUAUUGAUGAAUGUUUAAGCUCGCCUUGUGUACACGGGACAUGUACUGACGCUAUUAACAGUUUCUCUUGUUUCUGUGAGACAGGAUACACGGGUUCUCUGUGUGAGAAAGUGGAUGACGUUCCUGUAUUAAUCACUCUAUUCCUCACCUUAGUAACGCUCUCUGUCGUGGUCAUCAUCAUUGUGGUCCUCAUAUUCUGCAGAUUUUAAGAUACGCUUUAUUCCGGUAGUCCAAUGGCAGAUGUCUUACACCUUUAGGAUGUUCCUAUGUGUCGGAGAAGGAAGCCAUACAUGUAUGUCCACGUCUGGAAGUCCCAUCAAAUAAAAAUACCUUCCAUCACACAAUAAAUAUUUCUUCUGGUGUCUCGUGCUUGCGAGUCAACAAGAUGUAAUAGACUUGGAACAACCAAGCCUGCUUGUGAGUCAACAAGAUGUAACAGCCAAGGCAGAUUUCUCCAUUUUGAUUGGCUUGAUUUACAUUGUGAUGUCAAAGUGAUUGGUUAAAACGCAUCUUAGUGUCACGCUGCUGUUACUGUACUAUAACAUAAUGAACAUUUACAAGAACUUUUAAAGUACGAAAUACGAUGGAAUGUAUAUGCAUGUGCAUUUGCACAUGUGUAGUCGUGGGUAUGAUCUGAACACGAAUUAAAGGUUU